rnacentral:rRNA from 1 species
AUUGAACGCUGGCGGCGUGCCUAACACAUGCAAGUCGAGCGGUAACAGGUGUAGCAAUACAUGCUGACGAGCGGCGGACGGGUGAGUAACGCUUGGGAAUCUGCCUAUUAGUGGGGGACAACCCGGGGAAACUCGGGCUAAUACCGCAUACGCACUACGGUGGAAAGCCGGGGACCGCAAGGCCUGGCGCUAACAGAUGAGCCCAAGUCGGAUUAGCUAGUUGGUAGGGGUAACGGCCACCAAGGCGACGAUCCGUAACUGGUCUGAGAGGACGACCAGUCACACCGGAACUGAGACACGGUCCGGACUCCUACGGGAGGCAGCAGUGGGGAAUAUUGGACAAUGGCGAAAGCCUGAUCCAGCGACGCCGCGUGGGUGAAGAAGGCCUGCGGGUUGUAAAGCCCUUUCAGUGGGGAAGGAAAAGCCUCGAGCUAAUAUCUCGGGGUCUUGACGUAACCAUAGAAGAAGCACCGGCUAACUCUGUGGCAGCCGCCGCCGU